CUGUAGCCAAAAGCCUUGGAUUUCCAAGAGUUCCUGAGGAUGCUUAUUAUUUAAUUGUACACUGUCAGGCAGUUUACAUUCUUACACACAGACUCUGUUUCUAUUCUUAAAAAAUGCACAUUCCUGGAAUGCCCUUUAACUAUUACUUUACAUUUGUAUGUUGUUUCCAUUAAAUAAAAAGCUUUUGGAGAGCAUAGAUUUGAUCAGAUUCCUUUUGUAAGACCAUGCUGAAUGUAGUUCAUUCUUUCAUCAAAAACUGAACAUCUGUGCUCUAGGCUCUAGAUUAACAUCUUUGGCUGUUGCUGUUGUGAAAGGAAGUUCAUUGCUGAUUUAUGGUAAGAAGAUAUGAUGAGUGCUGUAGAGGCCAGUGUGAAGUUCAGUGAGGGCAGAGACCAAGUCUACUGGGGUGAAGUAGGCCUAGGGAGAUUGAAAGAGCGUGGUUGGUAUCUUGAAGCAAAAUAAAGGUUUUCUAGGAGGACUAGGUAAGAAACGGCUGGAGAAUGUUUUGCCAUAGUGAAUGGGCCAAGGGCUACAAGAGAAAUAAUACAAUAGUAGUAGUUGAUCAGUGAGUGUUUUCCUUGCUGUUGUCUAAUAAAGGGCCUGACCUGGGCCUCUGAUUUCUCUUUUCAUUUUGAUUUCCCCUUGUCUAAAAGAGGCCACUUAGGUGGGCUUAACUAUAUAGGCCUUUGUCUCUGCACCACAUUGUGCUGAACAUUGUUAGAUAUUUCCCUUCCCGUACAGAAGAAAAGCUGAUGGCCAGGCCAGAGCCUGAAUCCCUCCAAGGGCAGCGGCACCACAGUGGAUCGCUUUGCUCAGUGCCCCCUCAGUUAGCUGUUUCUAACAGCUGCUCUGGAGGGAGCAGGUCAGCAUUCACAAGGAGCUUGAAGCAGUGUUUGGAGGAAAGAUGCUGGCUGGGUAGCUGAACCCGCUUCAUUAAUUUCUCCAGGCAGCUUAAGAACUUUUCUGCAGACAGCUGCAAGUCAGGAGGUUUUCCUUGAUUUCUUCCAGUUCCUCUUGGCAGGGUGCCUCCUCUUCUCUACCUCCGAGACACCUGUUUCCAACUCGUGACGUGCAGAAGCUCUUGUUCCUCUCUGAAGUGCUGCCAUGGCUUUGUGCUUGGCACAGGACUGGACUGGUAGCAGUUCUGGGUUGUGAGGGGCUGAAGUGAUUUCUAGCAGGAGGACAAACACAUUUGCAACCAGAUUUGGUAAAUAAGAUGCAACGGUCAGAACUGAAGUAAAAGUGAGCUGUUACUGAAGAGAUUUCUGAGUUGUUUUGGAGGUGGCCACUCCAUGGAUGAAGCAAACUGCCUCCCUAGGGAACUGUGUAUGUACAUUUUGACAAGUUUAAGUCUUGUAAAUACUUCCUAUGUUGUUAUUUACUGAGGA